rnacentral:rRNA from 1 species
GUGGGGAAUUUUGCACAAUGGGCGCAAGCCUGAUGCAGCAACGCCGCGUGAGGGAUGACGGCCUUCGGGUUGUAAACCUCUUUUAGUAGGGAAGAAGCGAAAGUGGCGGUACCUGCAGAAAAAGCACCGGCUAACUACGUGCCAGCAGCCGCGGUAAUACGUAGGGUGCAAGCGUUGUCCGGAAUUAUUGGGCGUAAAGAGCUCGUAGGCGGCUUGUCGCGUCUGCUGUGAAAUCCCGGAGCUCAACUCCGGGCCUGCAGUGGGUACGGGCAGGCUAGAGUGCGGUAGGGGAGAUUGGAAUUCCUGGUGUAGCGGUGGAAUGCGCAGAUAUCAGGAGGAACACCGAUGGCGAAGGCAGAUCUCUGGGCCGUAACUGACGCUGAGGAGCGAAAGCAUGGGGAGCGAACAGGAUUAGAUACCCCAGUAGUCC